UGGAUCAAAAAGACAGUGUGGAGUUUCUGAAGGAGGAAGCUGGUCGCAAGCAAAGGGUUCGUGAUGAAGCUAAACCACUGUCGGUGGUAGAUGUUAACUUGCUGAUUGAAACAUUUGAUAAUCCUUUUUUGUACAACACGGUAUUGGCAGAAACACCUGAUGGCAUCAAGCAAGUCUCCGUCACCCUGGAUGUGGAAACAGCGCAUCCGCGGCUCGAGGUGUCU